rnacentral:tRNA from 1 species
GGACAGAUGACUGAGUGGUUUAAGGUACAAUAUUUGAGCUAUUGAGUGGAAAACCACCAUGGGUUCGAAUCCCAUUUUGUCCG